rnacentral:rRNA from 1 species
AAGUAAAAAAUUUGUGGCUGUGUGGAGUAGAGGAUUAUUAAUCUUGAAAAACAAAACUGCUUGGCGGCUUAUCAACUAAAUAGAGAAGCAUGCUUUUUAAUGGACAGUACACAAAAAUCUUUCCUAAUAUUGUAUUUACAUUUGGUACACCGCCGUCGGAAGAAUAAUUUUAUAGAAUUGUUCUAAUUUCUUAUAUAAAGAUUUAAGUCAGGCCAAGGCAUCGAUUAUUGUUAGGUUAAAGUGUGUUUCAUUAUUAUAAUUAUGUCUGAUAGUUUUAUUUAUAAAAUUUGAAAUGUUAAGUUAAAGUAAUUGAAUCUAUAAGUAA